rnacentral:snoRNA from 1 species
UAAUAAUGAAAUUAUUAAAGAUAGCAGUAAUGACAUAUCUUUUAUUAAAUAGCAUAAAUUUAUAUGCAG